rnacentral:rRNA from 1 species
AGUAAUACGAGAGUAUCCUAGUGGCGAACGGGUGAGUAUCGCGCUGGUGACCUACCCCAAAGUCUGGGAUAACAGUUCGAAAGGACUGCUAAUACCGGAUGUGGUCAUCGGGUUUAGAAACCGAUGUCUAAAGGAUUUAUUCGCUUUGGGAGGGGCCUGCGUCCCAUCAGCUAGUUGGUAAGGUAACGGCUUACCAAGGCGACGACGGGUAGGGGACCUCAGAGGGUGGCCCCCCACAAUGGAACUGAAACACGGUCCAU